GAAACUGCUACGAGAAAACAGAAGCUGAGGUCACUGCUGCCUGGAAGGAGGGCCAGCAGGGCUGGGGGAGAGGCUGGGCGCUCAGGCCUGGCUCGGGCUUGGAGCCAGGGGAGGACACUGCCCACCCCUAGAGAGGGGAUGACUCUGAGAGACAUCAGGAGGGCUUAGGCUGAAGCAGCCAUUCCCCUGCCUCCAGGAAAGUCUGCAGGUGAGCAUGGGGAGACAGGCCAGCGCUGCCUGUAGCCUGCGAGGAAAUGAGGCAGCUGGUGUUUCACCAGGGGCGGUGCCACGCAGGGGUUAACAGUCAGCGGCCUUUUGCUCUGGCUAAGCCACGAAAAAAACGCCAUGGGAAAAGAAUGAAAGCAAGAUAGAGCAAUUAAGUAUAAUUUAAACAGAAGUACAUCGGCUUGAUGAGUUGGGGUCGUCAUGCCCUGCUGAGCCAAGGAAAAACAGUGUGGCCCUUGGAACGCUGGGUCAGUGCAGGUUCGGAAUACUGUUUGCUGCACACACCAAGCUAUUUUCCCCAAGGCACAUGCGGGUUUAGGGCCUCCAGCUGGGUGAUACCCUUUGCACAAGAAAAUAAUGACAGUUCAGGGUCAUCAGUAACGUGGGACACGGGAACAGGAAGCUGAUUUUAUCGUAGCAGCGCAGAUACUCUGCAUGCCGAGACACUAUGUAAAAGUGAUGUGGCUCCGAGGCACAGGCUCUUAAUCCCUGAGAUCGUGAGUCCCCGGUACCAUCUUUAAAACUUUAAUUCUGUUUCUAGUUUCUUUCUUCCAAACUGUGUGUCGCCCCACUUUUGCUCCCUGCCUGCUGCGCUGGUCCCCGCCAGGGUCGUCAGAGAUGGUGGACCUAGAUGAGCACUCCCUGAGCAGAUGAGCACUCCCUGAGCAGGGAGCGGAUGGGUGUGGCCCUGCGGGACCCAGGAGCCUGCGGCUCCCUGGACGGGCGGAGCCACUGGAGAGGAUCCACUGCAAAUCUGAGCCUAACCUGAGACCCAGUGAGGGCUUGGUGGCUUUCAGGAGUAGCUCAUUCAACCCCUACUCUGUGAAGAUCAGGCGACCAAGGCCCACAGAGGGACAGUGAUCAUCACAGGGUCACACAGGAGACCAGCAGCAAAAGCAGAAGGGGAGCCAGGCCUGCAACUGCCCAGCUGGCUUCUGUCCCUGGCCUACGACUCACUGCUAGGAUUGUGACUCUGGGUUGCUAUAGUUACAGUCCCGGCGAAUCAGGGGCUGCACCUGCUCCAAGAGCUGCUGGAAGAGCAGAAAGUCACGCUCCUGCCGCCGGAUGGUGGCCAAGUAAUCGAUCUUCUCCAGCUCAAACUCUGACUGCAGAUCUUUGAUCUCCACCUCUGCCGCCCGGAGCUGAAAACAAAAGAUGAACAAGCAGAGACAACUGUCUGCCUGCGAACGCAGGGGACAGGGGUUUGAUCCCUGGUCCAGGAAGAGCCUGCGUGCCCGGGGCAACUGAAGCCUGUGCCCAGGGCCCGCAAGCCGCACCUGCUGAAGCUUAAGCACCUGGAGCCUGUGCUCUGCAACAAGAGAAGUCGCCACAGUGAGAUGCCUGCGCAUACCAACGAAGACCCAGAACAUCCCAAAAUAAUAAACUAGUAUUUUUUAAAAGUAGCAGCAGGCACACCUUCUCAGAGAACAACCCUCACUCCCCUCUACUGGCACACUUCUGCUGGUGUUCAGCCGCUCAGUCGUGCCCAGCUCUUUGCGACCCCAUGGACUGCAGCACACCAGGCUCCCCUGUCCUUCACCAUCUCUCAGAGCUUGCUCAAACUCAU